UACGUAGGGUGCGAGCGUUAAUCGGAAUUACUGGGCGUAAAGCGUGCGCAGGCGGUUUUUUAAGUCAGGUGUGAAAGCCCCGGGCUUAACCUGGGAACUGCGCUUGUGACUGCAAGACUCGAGUACGGCAGAGGGGGGUAGAAUUCCACGUGUAGCAGUGAAAUGCGUAGAGAUGUGGAGGAAUACCGAUGGCGAAGGCAGCCCCCUGGGUCGAUACUGACGCUCAUGCACGAAAGCGUGGGGAGCAAACAGG
rnacentral:rRNA from 1 species